rnacentral:rRNA from 1 species
UACAGGGGGUGCAAACGUUGCUCGGAAUCAUUGGGCGUAAAGCGCACGUAGGCGGUUCGUUAUGUCGGAUGUGAAAGCCCUUGGCUUAACCGAGGAAGUGCAUCCGAAACUGGCGAGCUAGAGUACGGAAGAGGCGAGUGGAAUUCCUGGUGUAGCGGUGGAAUGCGCAGAUAUCAGGAGGAACACCAAUAGCGAAGGCAGCUCGCUGGGACGUUACUGACACUGAGGCGCGAAAGCGUGGGGAGCGAACAGG